AUAAUGUUGAGGUCUCGAGAGAGACUGAAAUCUGACAUUGUGGUAUAAAUGAAAUAAAUCUUGGGUUUAAAGAUGGUGCUUUUGAAAAAAGGCAUCGACCCAAAACUUUUAUCAACUCUUUAUUAUUUGACUGAUCAAGUUAAUAACUCAUUAUCGAGUUAAAAAAAGUUUAAA
rnacentral:misc_RNA from 1 species